AAUUGUCAUAGCUCGACAACAGUUUGAAAGGCAGACUUGGAAACACUCACACUUCCCUUUCCUUUGUCUAUGCUUGGUCUGUCAUGGAAGUAAAAUUGCAGAAUAGCCCAUCAUGAUUGGGGUGAGUUUAUAAGAUUUCGCCGGAUUGGCUGCACAUUGGAGAAGACUAUGGGUAUUCGUUUCAAAAUCUCACCAGGUACUAGCUGAAUGUAAGGUUGCUGUCAAGAGGAAUUUGUUGAGAGGAUCAUGGCUGCAUGCAAGCAAGCUGAUAUUUUGUUGUUAGA